GAUUAACGCUGGCGGCGUGCAUAACACAUGCAAGUCGAACGAUGAAACUCAUUAGAUUUCUUCGGAAUGAAACCGAAUGGCUUAGUGGCGAACGGGUGAGUAACGCCUUAGUAACCUGCCUUACACAAGGGGAUAGCCUCUGGAAACGGAGAAUAAUACCCUAUGAAACCAUACAAUCGCAUGAUAAUCUGGUCAAGAUGCUUAUUGGUGUAAUAUGGACUUGCGUCUGAUUAGCUAGUUGGUGAGAUAAACGCUCACCAAGGCUACGAGCAGUAGCCGGAUUGGGAGAGUGGACGGCAAUAUUGGGAGAGAGACAAGGCGCAGACUCGUACGGGAGGGAGCAGGGGGGAAUUUGGCACACUGCGGGAAACACUGAUGCAGCGGGGCCGCGUGAUUUAGAAGGCCUGCGGGUUGUAAAGAUCUUUUGUAUAGGAAGAAAAUGACAGUACUAUACGAAUAAGGUCCGGCUAAUUACGUG
rnacentral:rRNA from 1 species